UUGAGCUUCUUCUUCACUCUACUGAACACUAUAAAAAGUCUGCUCCAAUUAUUCACACAAAUCAGCCACAAAUUUCGUAUUGAAUUUCAAUUUCAAUUUCGCCAAAAACCACCACCACCACCACCGGCAGUAACUGCCGCCACCAGAAACCACCAUCAAACACCACCCCAUAUUCACUCGACCACCGCAAUCACCACCGCACAUCCAUCAUACCUCCCUGCUCCCUCCCCCCCUCCGUCGUGAACUCCCCUGCCCCUCCCCUGCCUUGCUCCUUCGCAUCUACCGCACCACCCACGCCACACAACGACCACACUCCGGCCACCGCAUCACCUUAUAAACCUACCUCCACCUCAAAAUCCCCGGCGAUAGGCUGCUGCGCUGCCCCAGGUUCGACCAGAAAUACCCCUCCCGUGCUUUUUCCUCUGUUUCGUUCGACCACCCCCUUCCUUUUUCCUUGCAGUUCCGCCGCCGCAAAACCACAUCACUGCCGCCUCCUCUCCGGCCUGGUUCCGCGCCUUUGCGCUGCCCAGACCUCCGGUCACCAUCACCCCUCUCCUUCCCUUCCCUUCCCUUCCCCUGUUCCUUCGUGCCUCCUUUGUCGUGCUUCCUUUUUCCCAGGAAACAAGUUCCAUUUGGAACUUUGUUUGUUUUUGUUUUCUUUAAUCCUUAAGUAGAGGCCCAAAUUCCCUUGGCCCAAAUUCCCAAAGUGAGUUUGUUAUCUUGCCCAUUUAUUUAUCAAUCUAAAUGUUUUAUGAAAAUGAAUAGUUACUUAAACAUUUUAAAAAAAUAAUUAUAAUAAUGAUUUAAUAUAUAAUUUGACAAAUUCUUGGAAAUAAACAAUAUUUCAUUAAUUUCGAAAUUAUAAAAUAUAUAUUCAUUAUGUUAAAGUUGUUGAUUUUAAAUUAUUUAUCAUUUAGUAUUAAUUUAACAAUUUAAUAUUGUGAAAGAAAUCAAACUCGGAGCUCGGGAAGAACGGUCCAUCGAACAGGAAGUAUAAACUACGGUUGAGGUACAAAGAAGAUCAUGGGAUGCCUUAGGGUGAGGAUGCAACCAUCACAUUCACGAUCGACGUUUAGUAAAGAUAAUUAUGUGUCACUAGUAAUAAUGGAUAAAUUAAUUAAACUCUAAGUUUAAUUUCAAGUAUUGAGUUAGAUUUUAAUUUUAAUGUUUAAUCAAUGUUAGGAAUAUUUGUUAAGGUUUAUUUAGAUUUCAUUGUAAAUAUUAAAGAGUUAAUCGAAGUUAAGUCUAUUUACUGUUA